GUCGAUGAAGAGUGCAGCCGACUGUGUGAAUUAAUGUGAAUCGCAGACUGCUUUGAACAUCGACACUUCGAACGCAUCUAGA
rnacentral:rRNA from 1 species